rnacentral:rRNA from 1 species
GACGAACGCUGGCGGCGUGCUUAACACAUGCAAGUCGAACGGAAAGGCCCAGCUUGCUGGGUGCUCGAGUGGCGAACGGGUGAGUAACACGUGGGUGAUCUGCCCCUAACUUCGGGAUAAGCUUGGGAAACUGGGUCUAAUACCGGAUAGGACAAUCGUUUAGUGUCGGUUGUGGAAAGUUUUUUCGGUUGGGGAUGGGCCCGCGGCCUAUCAGCUUGUUGGUGGGGUAAUGGCCUACCAAGGCGUCGACGGGUAGCCGGCCUGAGAGGGUGGACGGCCAAAUUGGGACUGAGAUACGGCCCAGACUCCUACGGGAGGCAGCAGUGGGGAAUAUUGCACAAUGGGAGCAAGCCUGAUGCAGCGACGCCGCGUGGGGGAUGACGGCCUUCGGGUUGUAAACCUCUUUCGACAGGGACGAAGCUUUGGUGACGGUACCUGUAUAAGAAGCACCGGCUAACUACGUG